CGCCAGUGUAAAGUGGACAGUGUAGGAGAUCGCGUGCUGGGCGUCACCCGGAGGCUGCAAACUCAAAUCAUUGUUUCAUAAAAUAUCCAUUGUUUCAUAAAAUAUCCAGCGUAGACGCUCAUAGAAGUUGACCUGAAAGGACCUGCACUCCAGGUGUGAGUAGAGCCGAUGAAUGACACCUCAGAGACAACAGUGAUGAUUAAUGUAUCCUGUACAACUUCUGCCACACAGCACAGAUCUAAAAAUCACUUUGGUCCCGCAGACACACAUUUGGAAUGAAUGUGUAAUUAGAUUCUCCAGACAGCAGAUUUCAGAUUGGUACGUCAUUGGAUGCUGCUUGUGACAUCACGGUGCUGAGCAGAGUAACGCCACCUACCACAUGCUAGCAUAUAGCUGUGCGGAGAGGAAACAAAGUUGUGAAAGCGUCUACGCAGACGGAAUCCCCUCUUACAUCACUUCCUCUAUUCCAUCCUCUCUUUCCCUCAGAUGAACACUUAUUGACAGAAAGAGAUGUGUGGGUUGUUCAGUUAGUGAAUGUCUGCCUAUGUGGGUGCUUGCGUAAGUGUUUUAUACCGUUUUGCGUCCGCAAAGCCGAUCACGUCCGCACACGUGUGCAAGUCUAUGGCUAUAUGUAAUGGAUGAAACAUUCCUUGACCACACUAUGUGGGCACCAUCAUCAUCAUUAUCAUCAUCAUCCCUGAGAUAUGGAAUGCAGGACGGCAGGGUGUAGGUACACACAGUGUGAGGGCCACUAAUAUGAGAAUGACACCUCUCUGCCCACACAUGGCCUGUUCCUCACCAAUCAGAGUCACUCACAGAGGCAUGCAGGGUGGGCGGCCGUAUCACGCAGGCUAAGUAAUGAAGGUGUUGAUGGAGAACACCAGCGUUUUCACACGUCACACCGAGCAGAUUGGUCAUGUGGUGAAAAUAAAAUGACCUGUGUCAUCAGUACACAUAUACAGGAAUAGAUCACAUGCGAUGCAUCGCUCUGUGUAGCUUUAAUUAAUCCACGUGCUUGCUGAAAACAGAUAAAGUCUGUUGCUGUGAUUAAAGACGCUAUUUCUUUAAUGGCUGCAUCCGGUCCCAGCACACGCGCACAUGCACACGCAUUCAAGCACAUGGCCAAUUACCAGGUCUCUUAUUAGCUUUACAUUAAUGAUCCCCAGAGGCUUCACUUGUGUGAAAGAGCGCAGCCCCACCAACCCACACAUUGCUCACACACAUGGGCAUUUUAAUUGGCAGCCAAAUCCGACCAUAGUAAUGCUCUUACAUGUCUGACUCAUCCCGACAGCACUGCAUGCGCAACACAAUACUAUUAACUUUCAAGUCCAUUUUUUGUGCUGAUUGUUAGAUAUGAUCUCUAAUGUGAGAAACAAUAUGACUCAGGCUAAAAUAUAUUAUCCAUCGUUAAAUGAUUUAAGUAGGUAAGUAUUGGACGAAUGGGUUAUUUUAAAAAAAAUUGGAAAAUAGGAAUUGUUUAAUACAGAGUACUUGAAGAGUUCAGAUGCAAAACUCGCUAAGUGCAUCUGGCAUGAUUUUUUGUUAAUUAGCAUUUUUUAUCAGACUCUUAAUGGAUUUGCCUAAAAAAGGGUAUUUUGUAUCAUUAACCUUAAAGGUGCAGUGUGUAAUUUUUAGAAGGAUCUAUUGAUAGAAAUGCAAAGUAAUAUACAAAACUAUAUUAUCAGUGGUGUAUAAAGACCUUACAUAAUGAACCGUUAUGUGUUUAUUAACUUAGAACGAGACCUUUUUAUCUACAUACACAGAGGGUCCCCUUACAUGGAAGUCGCCAUUUGUGCCGCCAUUUUUCUACAGAAGCCCUUAACGGACAAAUUUUUUUACCAAGUUGUCUCCGACGAUAACAUGUUUGUCCAGUGGCGGCUACCCUAGCUUCUCUAUGUGUUUCAAUAGCGAGGGGUGAGCAGUGGACUAAGCCGUUGGUUGCAAUUCGCAACCUCACCACUAGAUGGCGCUAAAAUUACACACUGCACCUUUAAAGGGACACUCCGCUUUAAAAAAAAAAUGCUUAUUUUCCAGCUCCCCUAGAGUUAAACAAUUGAUUUUAUUGUUUUGGAAUCCAUUCAGCUGAUCUCUGGGGCUGGCGGUACUACUUUUAGCAUAUAGAACAAUCCAUUGAAUUUGAUUAGACCAUUAGCAUCGUGCUCAAAAAUGACCAAAGAGUUUCGAUAUUUUUCCUAUUUAAAACUUGACUCUUCUGUAGAUACAUCGUGUACUAAUACCGAUAGAAAAUUAAAAGUUGUGAUUUUCUAGGCCAAUAUGACAAGGAACUAUACUCUUAUUC